rnacentral:rRNA from 1 species
AACGAACGCUGGCGGCAGGCCUAACACAUGCAAGUCGAACGCCCGUAGCAAUACGGGAGUGGCAGACGGGUGAGUAACGCGUGGGAACGUGCCCUUCGGUUCGGAAUAACUCAGGGAAACUUGAGCUAAUACCGGAUACGUCCGUAAGGAGAAAGAUUUAUCGCCGAAGGAUCGGCCCGCGUCGGAUUAGCUAGUUGGUGAGGUAACGGCCCACCAAGGCGACGAUCCGUAGCUGGUCUGAGAGGANGAUCAGCCACACUGGGACUGAGACACGGCCCAGACUCCUACGGGAGGCAGCAGUGGGGAAUAUUGGACAAUGGGCGAAAGCCUGAUCCAGCCAUGCCGCGUGAGUGAAGAAGGCCUUAGGGUUGUAAAGCCCUGUCGGGUGGAAAGAACGGGAGGGGUGCAAAUAGCGCUUCUCCGUGACGGUACCACCGAAGGAAGCACCGGCCAAUUCCGUGCCAGCAGCCGCCGCCGUAAC